CAGUAGCCGCGGGAAUACGUAGGUGGCAAGCGUUGUCCGGAAUUAUUGGGCGUAAAGGGCUCGCAGGCGGUUUCUUAAGUCUGAUGUGAAAGCCCCCGGCUCAACCGGGGAGGGUCAUUGGAAAUUGGGAAACUUGAGUGCAGAAGAGGAGAGUGGAAUUCCACGUGUAGCGGUGAAAUGCGUAGAGAUGUGGAGGAACACCAGUGGCGAAGGCGACUCUCUGGUCUGUAACUGACGCUGAGGAGCGAAAGCGUGGGGAGCGAACAGGAUUAGAUACCCGCGUAGUCCCUGUCUCUUAUAC
rnacentral:rRNA from 1 species